rnacentral:rRNA from 1 species
UAACACGUGGGUGACCUGCCUUCGAGCGGGGGAUAACGUCCCGAAAGGGACGCUAAUACCGCAUAACAUCCUGCCUUUUAAGAGGUGGAGAUCGAAGCCGGGGAUUCGCAAGAACCUGGCACUUGAAGAGGGGCCCGCGCCUGAUUAGCUAGUUGGUGGGGUAAUGGCCUACCAAGGCAACGAUCAGUAUCCGGCCUGAGAGGGCGGACGGACACACUGGGACUGAGACACGGCCCAG